GAAAUGCGAUAAGUAAUGUGAAUUGCAGAAUUCAGUGAAUCAUCGAAUCUUUGAACGCACAUUGCGCCCGCCAGUAUUCUGGCGGGGAUGCCUGUCCGAGCGUCAUUUCAACCAUCAAGCCCCCGGGCUUGUGUUGGGGACCUGCGGCUGCCCGCAGGCCCUGAAAACCAGUGGCGGGCUCGCUGUCACACCGAGCGUAGUAGCAAUCACCUCGCUCAGGGCGUGCUGCGGGUUCCGGCCGUUAAACAGCCUUACAAAACCCAAGGUUGACCUCGGAUCAGGUAGGAAGACCCGCUGAACUUAAGC
rnacentral:misc_RNA from 1 species